rnacentral:rRNA from 1 species
GACGUAGGGUGCCAGCGUUGUUCGGAAUUACUGGGCGUAAAGGGUUCGUAGGCGGUGCGGCAAGUUGGGAGUGAAAUCUCUGGGCUUAACCCAGAGGCUGCUUCCAAAACUGCUGUGCUUGAGUGUGGGAGAGGCGCGUGGAAUUGCAGGUGUAGCGGUGAAAUGCGUAGAUAUCUGCAGGAACACCCGUGGCGAAAGCGGCGCGCUGGACCACUACUGACGCUGAGGAACGAAAGCUAGGGGAGCAAACAGG